CUAUCGGACUUGUAGCAAGGUUGUUCUAACAAAUUUGAUACAGUCAUGAUAUAACAAGAAUGUUCAAGGUUGACGACACAAGGUUGUAACAAUAUAUCAUGACUUUAUCAGACAUGUUGGAACAACCUUGCAACAAGUGUAAUAA
rnacentral:miRNA from 1 species